rnacentral:rRNA from 1 species
GACGAACGCUGGCGGCGUGCUUAACACAUGCAAGUCGAACGGAAAGGCCCUGCUUGCAGGGUACUCGAGUGGCGAACGGGUGAGUAACACGUGGGUGAUCUGCCCUGCACUUCGGGAUAAGCCUGGGAAACUGGGUCUAAUACCGGAUAGGAGCCAUCUUUAGUGUGAUGGUUGGAAAGUUUUUUUCGGUGUAGGAUGAGCUCGCGGCCUAUCAGCUUGUUGGUGGGGUAAUGGCCUACCAAGGCGGCGACGGGUAGCCGGCCUGAGAGGGUGGACGGCCAAGUGGGGCCUGAGAGACGGCCCAGACUCCGACGGGAGGCAGCAGUGGGGAAGGGUGCACCAUGGGCGGAAGCCUGAGGCAGCAACUCCGAGUGCGGGAUGACGGCCUGCGGGUUGGAAACAGAGUUCGCCUGAGACGAAGCGUGAGUGACGGUAAUGGGUAAAGAAGCACCGGCUAACUAAGUG